CGGUGGCGGGCGUGCUAUACAUGCAAGUAGAACGCUGAAGAGAGGAGCUUGCUCUUCUUGGAUCGAGUUGCGAACGGGUGAGUAACGCGUAGGUAACCUGCCUUGUAGCGGGGGAUAACUAUUGGAAACGAUAGCUAAUACCGCAUAACAAUGGAUGACACAUGUCAUUUAUUUGAAAGGGGCAAUUGUUCCACUACAAGAUGGACCUGCGUUGUAUUAGCUAGUAGGUGAGGUAAUGGCUCACCUAGGCGACGAUACAUAGCCGACCUGAGAGGGUGAUCGGCCACACUGGGACUGAGACACGGCCCAGACUCCUACGGGAGGCAGCAGUAGGGAAUCUUCGGCAAUGGGGGCAACCCUGACCGAGCAACGCCGCGUGAGUGAAGAAGGUUUUCGGAUCGUAAAGCUCUGUUGUAAGUCAAGAACGGGUGUGAGAGUGGAAAGUUCACACUGUGACGGUAGCUUACCAGAAAGGGACGGCUAACUACGUGCCAGCAGCCGCGGUAAUACGUAGGUCCCGAGCGUUGUCCGGAUUUAUUGGGCGUAAAGCGAGCGCAGGCGGUUUGAUAAGUCUGAAGUUAAAGGCUGUGGCUCAACCAUAGUUCGCUUUGGAAACUGUCAAACUUGAGUGCAGAAGGGGAGAGUGGAAUUCCAUGUGUAGCGGUGAAAUGCGUAGAUAUAUGGAGGAACACCGGUGGCGAAAGCGGCUCUCUGGUCUGUAACUGACGCUGAGGCUCGAAAGCGUGGGGAGCGAACAGGAUUAGAUACCCUGGUAGUCCACGCCGUAAACGAUGAGUGCUAGGUGUUGGAUCCUUUCCGGGAUUCAGUGCCGCAGCUAACGCAUUAAGCACUCCGCCUGGGGGAGUACGACCGCAAGGUUGAAACUCAAAGGAAUUGACGGGGGGCCCGCACAAGUCGGUGGAGCAUGUGGUUUUAAUUUCGAAAGCAACGCGGAGAG
rnacentral:rRNA from 1 species